UUGCCUCAGUAACGGCGAGUGAAGCGGCAUCAGCUCAAAUUUGAAAUCUGGCCCUCGGGUCCGAGUUGUAAUUUGUAGAGAAUGCUUCGGGCGAGGUCCGGUCUAAGUUCCUUGGAACAGGACGUCAUAGAGGGUGAGAAUCCCGUAUGCGACCGGGCGCCUCUGCCCAUGUGAAGCUUCUUCGACGAGUCGAGUUGUUUGGGAAUGCAGCUCAAAAUGGGUGGUAAAUUUCAUCUAAAGCUAAAUACUGGCCAGAGACCGAUAGCGCACAAGUAGAGUGAUCGAAAGAUGAAAAGCACUUUGGAAAGAGAGUUAAACAGUACGUGAAAUUGUUGAAAGGGAAGCGCUUGCAACCAGACUUGCACGCGGCCGAUCACCCGGUGUUCUCACCGGUGCACUCGGUCGCGUUCAGGCCAGCAUCGGUUCCGGUGGUUGGAUAAAGGCCCUGGGAAUGUGGCUCCUCUCGGGGAGUGUUAUAGCCCUCGGUGCAAUGCAGCCCACUGGGACCGAGGACCGCGCUUCGGCUAGGAUGCUGGCGUAAUGGUUGUAAGCGACCCGUCUUGAAACACGGACCAAGGAGUCUAACAUCUAUGCGAGUGUUUGGGUGUCAAACCCAUACGCGUAAUGAAAGUGAACGGAGGUGAGAACCCUUAAGGGUGCAUCAUCGACCGAUCCUGAUGUCUUCGGAUGGAUUUGAGUAAGAGCAUAGCUGUUGGGACCCGAAAGAUGGUGAACUAUGCCUGAAUAGGGUGAAGCCAGAGGAAACUCUGGUGGAGGCUCGCAGCGGUUCUGACGUGCAAAUCGAUCGUCAAAUUUGGGUAUAGGGGCGAAAGACUAAUCGAACCAUCUAGUAGCUGGUUACUGCCGAAGU
rnacentral:rRNA from 1 species